AAUAAUUUAUGAUGCUGAACAUACUAAAUUAUUUGAUCAGAGAGCCAUGUUAAAGUACUAAGAAACAACAAAGUUGACUUCAAGAUGUUGCUAACGGAAGAAACAGAUCAUCCUUCGACCCAAAAACAUCCUUCUUCAUUGUCCAUAUCAAUAAUUCGACCGACCAACAGAGAGCUAGCUUAUGUUUGAUUAUUGCCUAGUUCUGACACGUGCUUGAUUUGGUAAUAACUGGGGGAUUUGGUAGUAAAGAGAUGUGUUGUACUUGUGCAACAACUGACUGGCGCUUCUAUAUACCAUGGAGUAAUUUUGUAGAUGUUAGCACAAUCAGUUAACAUGCUUUAGAGCAUGUUAAUAUAAGAGUGCUUCUUGCGCUCAUAUCUUGUGUAAAAUUAAAACAAAAUCUAAUUUACA